rnacentral:lncRNA from 1 species
CUCGACGGCCUGCUCGAUCUUGGACUUUCUGGAAAGGAAUGGUGACUCGCGGGUUCCUACCGCUAGGGCCCGUCUGCUUCCUCCGAACCCGCGGCCUUCCAUCGACAGGGUCCGCAUGCUUCCUCGGCCCGUUGCUCUGGCGGCGGCGGAGGCCUCGCGCCUUCCCACAGAUCUCCCCCGUCAAGUCGAAGCAGAGAGUUCCAUGAAGGCCAUAGAAGAAGACUACAUCCGGCUCAUGAUAGAGUUGGGUAGGGCUGAGAGGGAGCGUAAGAACAAGAAUAAUUAGUUGUUGUACUUUUUAUUCUAAGGGCGACUUAGUGUUUUGUCGGCCAUGUAAUCGGUCGCCCGUACCGAAUGUAAUCGGCCCGAAUGAAUGUAAUCGGCCAUCUAUGAACGUAAUCGGCCAAUCUGGUCGAUCUCAUGUGAAUCUCCAAACCGAGUUGUGUUGGUCAUAUUUGACUGUGUUUACCUCUUUAGGCCCCGACCCAUAUACUCGGGAAAUACCUUUUUAAAUAUCUCCCAUUCAGAGCCCUAGUGAAUUCUUCCCCCUCUGUUGUUUCCAAAAUAUAUGCAUUCCCCGGGGCGCAUCUGCCGAUUCUAUACGGCCCUUCCCAGGUAGGAGACCAUUUGCCGAAUUUAGGAUCUUUCGACCCGAUCGGUAGUACCAACUUCCAUACCAAAUCUCCAGGGG